rnacentral:sRNA from 1 species
ACCCUAGAUAAAGUACUUUCUCUCUGCAGGUACUACCCCAGUGGAGAUGCCUUUGCUUCAGGGUCAGAUGAUGCUACGUGUCGCCUCUAUGACCUGCGGGCAGACAGGGAGGUUGCCAUCUAUUCCAAAGAAAGUAUCAUAUUUGGAGCAUCCAGCGUGGACUUCUCCCUCAGUGGUAAGAUUUUAUUUCAGAAACUUUUCCCAGGACUGUAAGACAGGACCAGAAUGAAACUAGCGCUCCAUCAUCACUCAGUUCCUUUUCAUCAACUGAGCUUCCUGUGGACCAGUAUGCGAAAUCAUCCAUAUUUGCACGAGUUUUCCUCCUCUGAGCUUCUGACCUCCCACUUUGCCUUGCCCCAGGCAACUUCACUCCAGGGGGAAAUGAAGGCUGUAUACAACCUAAUGCUGUCCUUCAAGGCAAUGAAGUGUCAGAAAUUCACUUCCACAGUGCUCUCAGGCAUUUUCUCCCCAGCCUUUGCUUCUCUUCAUGCCCCAAAGGGAACUUUUCUGUAAGGUGGAGGUGAAGCAGGAGUCCCUUCUCGGCCGGACACUGUGGCUCACGCCUGUAAUCCCGGCACUUUGGGAGGCUGAGGCAGGCGAUCACUUGAGCUCAGGAGUUAAGCCUGGCCAACACAGUGAAACCUUGUCUCUACUAAAAAUACAAAAAUUGGUUGGGCGUGGUGGCGCAUGCCUGUAAUCCCAGCUACUCGGGAGGCUGAGGCAGGAGAAUCGCUUGAACCUGGGAAAUGGAGCUUGCAGUGAGCUGAGUUUGUGCCACUGCACUCCACCCUGGGCAACAGAGCGAGACUCUGACUCAAAGGGGAAAAAAAAAUGAGUCCCUUCUCAGUGCCCUGAAGCUCAUGGCUCAUUUGUGGGAAGCUGCUAGUGAAAAAGCAUAGCUCCAGAAGGAUCAUGUCAAAGAAAGAAAGAAAAAUAGAAAGUUAAAGCAGAGGUUACAGUGAGCCAAGAUCAUCCCACUGCACUUCAGCCUGGGCAACAGAGCAAGACUCUGUCUCAA